GAUGAACGCUGGCGGCGUGCCUAAUACAUGCAAGUCGAGCGAAUGGAUUAAGAGCUUGCUCUUAUGAAGUUAGCGGCGGACGGGUGAGUAACACGUGGGUAACCUGCCCAUAAGACUGGGAUAACUCCGGGAAACCGGGGCUAAUACCGGAUAACAUUUUGAACCGCAUGGUUCGAAAUUGAAAGGCGGCUUCGGCUGUCACUUAUGGAUGGACCCGCGUCGCAUUAGCUAGUUGGUGAGGUAACGGCUCACCAAGGCAACGAUGCGUAGCCGACCUGAGAGGGUGAUCGGCGACACUGGGACUGAGACACGGCCCAGACUCCGACGGGAGGCAGCAGUAGGGAAUCUUCCGCAAUGGACGAAAGUCUGACGGAGCAACGCAGCGUGAGUGAUGAAGGCUUUCGGGUCGUAAAACUCUGUUGUUAGGGAAGAACAAGUGCUAGUUGAAUAAGCUGGCACCUUGACGGUACCUAACCAGAAAGCCACGGCUAACUACGUGCCAGCCGCCGCAGUAA
rnacentral:rRNA from 1 species